GUCAGGAGGAGUCAGCCUUUAUAUAUGAAUCUACCCCUUCUGCAACCCCGGUUGUCAGAGCCCAAAAUAAAGCAAACUUUCAACCAACCUUACCUCUUUAACAGCUCCUCUAAGCAUUGAGCAGCUGGACCCAAUUUCAGCAGGUGUUAUGGUGCCAGUGUGGGGCUGCACUCUCGCGAGAUCUGGCUCCCUGGGUUUUUCUGAGUAGAACCACAGCUAUGACAGCGCCUAGCCGCCUUGGGCCCCCAGCUCGCGGCUACUGGCCCCAAGAGGCAGAGGUUUGGAGGACGUUUCUCACAGCUGCUGAAACCAUUUGUUUCGGGGAGCCUCCUAGUUUCCCCCCUGCUCAGCACCGGCCGCCAGCUAAUGCUUUCUCUUGGAGGAAUAGAAAGAAGCAUCUGGACAAGAGGACGAGGUCCCCAACCAAAUGACUCAGCCUGGGGCAAGCCAGCUACUGUGUCAAGAGCUUUCAAGGAGCCUUGGGAAAGACUCAUGAGGAGAAGAUCUCAGGCCCCCACCCCCAACAGCUCUGUAUCAGACGUGUGAAUAAACCAUCAUGGAAGUGGAACCUCCAGCCUUCGUAAAGCCUUCAGUUUCAUGUGAAAAGUUGCCCGGUUUCAUGUUGAAAUCUUUAGCCAGAACCACUCAGCUAAACUGGUCCCAAAUUUCUGACCCUACAGAAAAGGCCUUCAUUCACUGAACAAAAUUUGCUGCAAUACCUGCCACGUGCCAGCCACAGACAGUAGACACUGAGGACACAGCAGUAAGUAAAACAAAGGCCCUGGCUUCAGCAAGCUUACAUUCUAAUGAAGAACAGACAAGGAGCAGAUGAGCAAAGGAAGUGCGUAAUAUCAUGUCAGGUGGUAGGAAGUGAUAGGGAGAGAUUUAAUGUCAGGUUAGAGGACAGAGGGGAAGAGAGAGCAGCUUUAGGUCAGAAGGCAGGGCAGGCCUUGGUGAGAGCAUGGUGUUUAAGCAGCCCUCAAUCCUGGGAGUGAGGUGUGCCAGCAUUCAGUAGGGAAGUGCUUCCCCAGCCCAGGGCAGAGCAAGUGGAAAGGCCUGAAUCUGGGCAUGAACUCGAUGUGAUAAGGAAGAACCAGGAGGCGGUAGGAGCACGUGGAAAGUGGUAGAAGAAAAAUACCAGAAAAUUCUUGCAUUCCAGUCUCCUCUUUCUAGGUUACAUAAACCCUUCAGUUAAAAAUCAGUUUGUUGGGCAUUCUCACUGUGGCUC